AUACGGAGGGGGCUAGCGUUGUUCGGAAUCAUUGGGCGUAAAGCGGGUGUAGGCGGCUUGGCAAGUCGGGUGUGAAAUCCCUGGGCUCAACCCAGGAACUGCACUCGAAACUGCCUCGCUAGAGUCUCGGAGAGGGUGGCGGAAUUCCCGGUGUAGAGGUGAAAUUCGUAGAUAUCGGGAGGAACACCAGUGGCGAAGGCGGCCACCUGGACGAUGACUGACGCUCAGACCCGAAAGCGUGGGGAGCAAACAGGAUUAGAUACCCCGGUAGUCC
rnacentral:rRNA from 1 species